rnacentral:rRNA from 1 species
AGGAUUCAGUCUGGAGUUGCAGUUGCGCUGGUCGGGGGCUUCCCCGGGGCCGUCCGACCGCGAAGGCCAGACGCAUUUGUCUCCCGUUCGAAGGACGUCGCAGCCUGUCUGGCAGUGCAAACGUGACGGCCUGGAAGGCGGACGUCGGCAGGUAGUCGGUGGCGGGUCUAGUGCUCGCUAUCGGUUGUUAGCCUGUCCGUCGGUGGCACGUCGUCAGACAGAGGUACGGAGAUGCCCUCAUGGGCGUCACCACCUCCCCUCUCUGCGGGACAGACUGUCGCGAGUGAAGGCAGCCGCGCGGCCGCACUCCGUCGGAGUGGGCCAGCGGCCGGCGGCGACGGCGGGCUCGUAGGAGGUCGGAGGUUGGCGGCGAGUAGGUCGGUCACCCACCCGACCCGUCUUGAAACACGGACCAAGGAGUCUAA